CGAGUACCCGCAUCUAUAACACAGAUGCAGGGAACAGAGUUUUAUCUGAAAAACUGUGUAUUCAGCUGAGCGAGUGACGUCUAAACGCCUAAUGGCUGUAGCUGCUGUGGCGCUGAACAACAGUCUGCUAUGCUUCUCAAAUUCAACAACCAGAGCAACAAGAAAACCGCCAUGUGCAUGGUUUCCUGACGAAACAAGCUUGUUGGUACCUCGAAAGAAGGCCCAUUUCACUUUAACGUCUUACUCUUCUUCUUCGACUUCUCAGUCCCCUGAAUCCGGUACACAGACUCCAGAAUCCUGCGUCAAUUUGGGUCUCUCCCUCUUUUCCAAAGGAAGGGUUAAAGAUGCUUUAGUCCAGUUUGAAAAGGCUCUUAGCUUAGAUCCCACACCUGUUGAGGCCCAAGCUGCACUAUAUAAUAAAGCUUGCUGCCAUGCCUACCGAGGGGAAGGAAAGAAAGCUGCUGACUGCCUACGUACUGCUUUGAGGGAAUAUAAUCUUAAAUUUGGUACCAUAUUGAAUGAUCCAGAUUUGGCUUCCUUUAGAGCUUUGCCUGAGUUCAAGGAAUUACAAGAAGAGGCUAGGCUGGGAGGGGAAGAUAUAGGAUACAGCUUUCGUAGAGAUCUCAAACUUAUUAGUGAGGUCCAAGCACCAUUUCGUGGGGUUAGGAGAUUCUUUUAUGUGGCAUUCUCCGCGGCUGCAGGAAUUUCAUUGUUCUUUACAAUCCCUAGGCUCUUCCGUGCAAUUAAUGGUGGGGAUGGUGCCCCAGAUCUCGGGGAAACUGCUGGAAAUGCUGCCAUUAAUAUUGGAGGCAUCGUUGUUCUUGUGGGCCUAUUUCUCUGGGACAAUAAGAAAGAGGAAGAACAAAUUGCACAGAUAACCAGAGAUGAAACUCUAUCAAGGUUGCCUUUGCGCCUUUCCACUAAUCGUGUUGUCGAGCUUGUACAGCUUCGGGACACUGUUAGGCCAGUAAUCUUGGCAGGGAAGAAGGAGACUGUUUCCAUAGCUAUCCAGAAGGCAGAGAGGUUCCGAACUGAGCUGCUUAGACGAGGUGUCCUUUUAGUUCCUGUUAUCUGGGGUGAAGGGAGAGAGCCAGAAGUGCAGAAGAAAGGGUUUGGUGCUCCUUCAAAGGCAGCUGCUGCUCUUCCUUCUAUUGGGAAUUUGAGAAAAGAGCUCAGUCUGUAGUUGCAAAGUCAAAGUUGAAAUCCGAAAUUCGCUUUAAAGCAGAAGUUGUAUCUCAGGUGGAAUGGGAAAGGUGGUUAAGGGAUCAGCAGAAGUCAGAAGGAGUUACUCCGGGUGAGGAUGUGUACAUAAUACUGCGCCUUGAUGGUCGAGUUCGAAGAUCAGGAAAAGGCAUGCCUGACUGGCAACAAAUUGUGAAGGAGCUGCCACCUAUGGAAGCAUUAUUGAGUAAGCUAGAAAGAUAAAAGCUCCUGCUCAGUUCCCAAUUCUUGAAAUAUUUUUUGUUCUUUUUAUUAGUUGUUAUUGGGUAAUCUUCAUACCACUGUUACGAUCGCUCAUCAUACCAUCUCUUUUGAUAUUAGAAGAAGGAAACUUGUUCUCUUGAUCCUUCUCAUUGCUGAGAAAUCCAUUAUAUGUGUGUAUAUAUAUAUAAUAUUGUAAAUUUCACUUUGCAAGAUUAGGUUUUAUGCUUUUGAUGAGAGUUUUCAUAUAUUAUAGAAAA